UCCUACGGGAGGCAGCAGUAGGGAAUCUUCCACAAUGGACGAAAGUCUGAUGGAGCAACGCCGCGUGAGUGAUGAAGGGUUUCGGCUCGUAAAACUCUGUUGUUGGAGAAGAACGGGUGUGAGAGUAACUGUUCACAUCGUGACGGUAUCCAACCAGAAAGCCACGGCUAACUACGUGCCAGCAGCCGCGGUAAU
rnacentral:rRNA from 1 species